rnacentral:rRNA from 1 species
AACGAACGCUGGCGGCAUGCCUAACACAUGCAAGUCGAACGAAGCCUUCGGGCUUAGUGGCGCACGGGUGCGUAACGCGUGGGAAUCUGCCCUUGGGUUCGGAAUAACAGUUAGAAAUGACUGCUAAUACCGGAUGAUGUCUUCGGACCAAAGAUUUAUCGCCCAAGGAUGAGCCCGCGUAGGAUUAGGUAGUUGGUGGGGUAAUGGCCCACCAAGCCGACGAUCCUUAGCUGGUCUGAGAGGAUGAUCAGCCACACUGGGACUGAGACACGGCCCAGACUCCUACGGGAGGCUGCAGUCGAGAAUCUUCCGCAAUGGACGCAAGUCUGACGGAGCGACGCCGCGUGAUCGAUGAAGUCUUUCGGGAUGUAAAGAUCUUUUAUGUAGGAGAAAGUUUUGAUAGUACUACAUGAAUAAGGGGUUGCUAAACUCGUGCCAGCAGCCGCCGUAA